CAGCCACACCGCUGCUCGGGCUGUGCUCUGGCCCACCACUCCCGCUGGGCAGCGUGGGGAGCACAGCUGGCUCUGGCCGGGUGUCGUGGCUGAGAGCUCCUGCUGCUGAUGAGGGGAUUGCAACAAAGUAAGGGCCACCCUGUCGUCAUCCAAGAAACAUCUAGUGUGUUGGUGGAGAGGACCAUUAAAGUGCUUCUGAGCCGCUGUACUUCAGUAAUGGCUGGUGCAAGGAGACUAUACCUAUCCCUUCUGCCUGACUGAAGGCAUGGGAAGACCACUGCCCUUUCAGAAGGCUCUGAGAGUGGACGGGUAUCUAUCACAAUGGGGUCCUGGUCCACAACUAUAGUUCCUAGGUAAUACAUUAAUACAAAUAAAAACAGCAGUAUGCUGACUAGGUAGGAAUAAGAUGCAACUCCUGAAGAAAGCUUCCAACUCAAGAUCUCAUGAAAAAUAAAGGACAGUUCUGGUCCUCAGAGCUGUGCAGAACUUGACAACAUGGAUUUGAAGGAGUUCACACAAGUACUAUCUUCAGUUUCGGUCUACACAAUGGUUCUGAGGAGUUUGUUAGAACCCAUCUCAAAGAGAAUCUACAAACCUCACAGGAUUUUAGUGAACAGAGGUGGUGCAAAAUGCAGAUACAGUAGAACCUCGGAGUUAUGAAUGACCAAUCAACCACAUACCUCAUUUGGAACCAGAAGUAUGCAAAAAGGCAGCAGCAGAGACCAAAAAAAAAAAAAAAAAAAAAAGGAAAUACAGCACAGUACUGUGUCAAACAUAAACCACUAAAAAAAUAAAGGGAAAGUUUAAAAAACAGAUUUGACAAGCUGUGAGCAUUUGAAAAACUACACACUGAGCAUGAACAGCAGAAAACUUCCUUCAGUCAACAGGUUCACACAUAAAGUGCACAUGGACAGUUUUAAGGAACUUACAAGCUCUAAAGUCAUAUAAGCACGAGGCAAGAUGCUUACAAGCUUUCUGGCCAUGGACUUCUUUCUUUGUGCCGUUGUCCACAAUGCCCUUAAUGCUUAGAGCAGUGUCCUACUUCUUGUGCAUGAAAACCUCCUCAUUCAAAUCCCUCCUUAAAACUGAAUUCUUCUGGACAGCCGAUUGAUGCCAACUCACCUCUGAAAGCCUGCUGCAACAGACCACUAAAUGGAACAAUUGAAAACAACUGUUUAUGGCACGGAGAUGGUCUUCUAAUAAAGUUGGAGCAGAACUGUAAUUCAAUACAUGUGCGGAUACUUUGGAGAUUGCAUACUAACGGUGUCUCCUGCACAGCUCUCACUAUGUUUUAGUCAGUUAUAUAUGGCACUAGAGAAACCAUUUAAAGAUCUAU